UACGGAGAGUGCAAGCAUUAAUCGGAAUUAUUGGGCGUAAAGGGCGCGUAGGCGGGAGAAUAAGUCAGAUGUGAAAUUCCAAAGCUCAACUUUGGAGCUGCAUUUGAAACUAUAAAUCUAGAGGAUUGACGGGGAAAACGGAAUUCCACGUGUAGCGGUGAAAUGCGUAGAUAUGUGGAAGAACACCUGUGGCGAAAGCGGUUUUCUAGUUAACACCUGACGCUGAGGCGCGAGAGCAAGGGGAGCAAACAGG
rnacentral:rRNA from 1 species